rnacentral:rRNA from 1 species
UAUAAUGCACAUCCAUCGGCGGUGAUGC